rnacentral:rRNA from 1 species
CCUACGGGGGGCUGCAGUGGGGAAUAUUGCACAAUGGAGGGAACUCUGAUGCAGCGACGCCGCGUGAGCGAUGAAGGUCUUCGGAUCGUAAAGCUCUGUCCUAAGGGACGAUAAUGACGGUACCUUAGGAGGAAGCCCCGGCUAACUACGUGCCAGCAGCCGCGGUAAUACGUAGGGGGCAAGCGUUGUCCGGAAUUACUGGGCGUAAAGGGUACGCAGGCGGCUUUGUAAGUCAGAUGUGAAAGACUAUGGCUUAACUGUGGUAAGCAUUUGAAACUACAGAGCUUGAGUACAGGAUGGGAGAGUGGAAUUCCUAGUGUAGCGGUGAAAUGCGUAGAUAUUAGGAGGAAUACCAGUGGCGAAGGCGACUCUCUGGACUGUAACUGACGCUGAGGUACGAAAGCAUGGGGAGCAAACAGGAUUAGAUACCCUUGUAGUC